CUCAUUAUUGUCAUAAGUCAUUUGCGACAGCGGUGUUAAUGUGGGUCAAACAGGAUGUUAAGGUUAACUGCUUGGACCUUUAGUUAGGCCCACCCUACAAUCCCAAAGCUACAAGACGACAAACAAUAUCACAGAACCCGAAUUCACUGCAUCGAUCGUUGAAACACGACAACUAAAACCUUAACCAGAUACAGCCAUACAGAAAAAAUAAGAAAUAUUUCGAGAGGGGUUUUCUUUCGCUUUCAGUUGUUAGAUCUAAAUCACAUAGCUAAUGAGAAUGCCGAUUCCGUUUAAACACCUUCUUGUAUUUUUCAUUUGAUAAAAUUCUUAUUAAGAUCGCAUAGCGGAGUGGAUAUCGCGUUAGACUCCGAAUCUAAAGGUCGUGGGUUCGAAUCCCACUGCGAUCACUUUACCCUUUUUCCUUUCAUUCCAUAUAAUUGCACUUAUACAUAUUUUGAAUCAUACAAUUUAGUGGAAAACCAUAGAAAUUAUAUACAGGCAUUGACAAACAGCAGUAUUUUACAGCUAUUUUAUUGUGUGUUCAAUGAAUGAUAUAUGUCCCUAUAUGCGUAUGAUAAAAUGUAGGUUAUCAUAUUCGGCAAAUAAUUAGCUAAAGGCAUAAAUGUGGUGCUCCUCUCUUAAAGCUGUCUGUCUAUUUUGGCUAUAUUUUUGUAAAUUUGCUCUUAUAUGAGGAUACCUCAAUUUAAAGGUUCCAAAAGGUGGUUUGGAAUAUGUCUGAAACACUGAUUGCUUUUUUCAAAGGUUUGGUAGCCAUCACUGAAUUAUCACUUGGUGUUUACACCCGUAUUAUUAGAGGAGUUGACUCAUAUCCCACAAAGGCGUGGGUUCGCUCCCACUGUCAAUGUGAGAACGUGUAAGUAUCUUUGUUGUCGCUACUCUUUGAACUUUGAGGUAUGCCCUAACUCUGAUGAGUCCUUGAGACCCAAUCGAGUGUCAGCAAGAAAAAAGCUCAUGUAUUAAUAAAUGUAUUGAGAUUUUAGAAACUCUUUUUGUUUUUUUUCCUGUUUGCUUUCAAUGGAAUCUAAAACUAACAGGCAUACAUGAUUUUGGAGUGUGGACAAGGAUCAUGCUGAGGUUUUCAUACCUUUUUGCGACAGCGAUGAUCCUGAUGUGGCUGCUAGUGAGGUUCUAGAAAUGUCAGCUGGAAAAAAUCACUGCUAUGAUAAUGCCAGCAUUCCUAUUGUGACUGAAGCAUAAUGUUCUGAAAAUGCUGCUAAUUAUGCUGUGAAGGGUGCCUUAUACAAUUCCAAACCUGCCUUUAACUAGAAAAUUAUGCUUAAUGUAAAUCAAAAUCACUAUUCUGGUGUGAAAGAAACGGGUUGUGCCUAUGGGAAUCCUUAGUAAAUUUGCAGUAGAAUUUUGAGUGGCUUAUGUACCUUUCAUAAGCAUCAUUUUGGUAUACCAACACUAAUUAGUGAGUUGGAGAAUAUAAUACAGUGAUAUCAUUAGUGCCUUUUACGUAGUGAUUGUAACUAUAAACUAUAAACUAUACCAUGUUGACAAUUAAGUAAUGCAGAUACGGUAGGUCUCCCCCCUUUAAUUAUUUGAUCUGGCAUAUUUGCAUUAGCAGACAGCAAUUAUCAUGUUGACCAGAGAAGGACAAUUAUUUGUCAUCAGCAGUAAAUUAUUGAGAAUAUUUAUAUAUGGUUUAAUCGCA